rnacentral:rRNA from 1 species
GGCUUCGGCCUUAGUGGCGCACGGGUGCGUAACGCGUGGGAAUCUGCCCCUUGGUUCGGAAUAACAGUUGGAAACGACUGCUAAUACCGGAUGACGACGUAAGUCCAAAGAUUUAUCGCCGAGGGAUGAGCCCGCGUAGGAUUAGCUAGUUGGUGUGGUAAGAGCGCACCAAGGCGACGAUCCUUAGCUGGUCUGAGAGGAUGAUCAGCCACACUGGGACUGAGACACGGCCCAGACUCCUACGGGAGGCAGCAGUGGGGAAUAUUGGACAAUGGGCGAAAGCCUGAUCCAGCAAUGCCGCGUGAGUGAUGAAGGCCUUAGGGUUGUAAAGCUCUUUUACCCGGGAUGAUAAUGACAGUACCGGGAGAAUAAGCUCCGGCUAACUCCGUGCCAGCAGCCGCGGUAAUACGGAGGGAGCUAGCGUUAUUCGGAAUUACUGGGCGUAAAGCGCACGUAGGCGGCUUUGUAAGUAAGAGGUGAAAGCCCAGAGCUCAACUCUGGAAUUGCCUUUUAGACUGCAUCGCUCGAAUCAUGGAGAGGUCAGUGGAAUUCCGAGUGUAGAGGUGAAAUUCGUAGAUAUUCGGAAG